CGGGGUGAGUAAUGUAUGGGGAUCUGCCUGAUGGCGGGGGAUAACUACUGGAAACGGUAGCUAAUACCGCAUAAUGUCGCAAGACCAAAGAGGGGGACCUUCGGGCCUCUUGCCAUCGGAUGUGCCCAGAUGGGAUUAGCUAGUAGGUGGGGUAACGGCUCACCUAGGCGACGAUCCCUAGCUGGUCUGAGAGGAUGACCAGCCACACUGGAACUGAGACACGGUCCAG
rnacentral:rRNA from 1 species